AAGACCCUGCAAGACUGAAGCAGUGCUUGGAGUCGGAGAGGAGAGAGUCAGACAAUGUGCACAUUUAUUUCUUUGGAUUAAAGAGGAAGUGGAGAGUUUCUAUUUGGGAUGAUGAUAAAGUUUUGGAAAUGGUAGCCAUGAAUGUUGCACAGUAUUGUUGAAGGUAAUUAAUGCCACGGAUUUAUACACUUAAAAUGGUUAAAAUUUAAUGGGUGUAUUUUAUGAUUUUUUUUUUAAGGAAGUGGGUUGGUCUAUCCAUAGACUAGUCCAGGGUAAUUAACAAACAAUUGCCAUCUUGUUCCCUCUUGAUUUCAAAAGUCUUGCUGACUUUCUGUCCCUUCUGUAGGGUUGACUUAUCCUGGGAGCAGUGACAAAAGCUGGCUCUUGUUGUAGGAACCAUACAGAUGCUGAUACUCAAUCUAAUUCUGGGGCAUUUGAGAGCAUAUGCAGCUUCUCUAGCUCCUAAGACUUCAAUGCUUAAGUAUUGGAAUGCCUUUUAUCCACCAAAAGAUGUACCUAAGAGUUUGUCGCUGGGGUAGACUCUCCUACUUUUCCUACAGAAAUGAUAACCCAUUAUCACUGAGUAUAGGCACUCAAUAAAUUUUUUCGAAUGCCAUUGCCAACUCGUUUUUCUCUCACUUCCAGAACUGAAAACUUGAGUGCAGAGUUGGAAUAGGUAAAGGCUUUUGGAUUUGUGGCUCAGACUUACUUCACUCUCCCCUAUCUGGGACUAUGAAUGUUCCCUAUCUGGGACUAUGAGUGUCUUUACUACCCAGAGUUCAGAGAACACUAGAAUAGCAAGGUUGAAAGAGGCUUGAAAAGUCCCCUGUUUGCCACCCCAGUGAUGCCUGUCUUAUGGUCACAGCCUUUGGUCACACACAGGUGUGGCUUCUAUCUUUGAGAAAGGUCAUACCCUGUGACCAUCACUCACCCCAGCUCCUCAGAGAGCCCCUCAACAUUUCAGACAUAAACAUUUUUGAAGUAUCUUCCACCAAUCCAGAGGCUUAUAGUUCUGAAAUCCCUGUAUUGGGUCCAGAUUGGAUUAUUUUAAUAUUCCAGGAAGAUGCUUUACAGUUGAGACAUUUUCAGUUCAAUUCACAUUUUCUACUUGUAAUUUCUAGCUGGAAAUUACCUAUGGAAGCUGAGUCACCUACCUCGCUCCUGGAGCCCACUGGCUGUUUCCAAGGCCUUCUUCAUUAUUCAAACCACGACUCCAUCACAGGAAUACCCAAAGCAACAUUUGAUAGUUGUGGAAGAUUUUUACCCUCACAAGUCAUGAAUACUUUCUGUUUAUUGCUUACACUGAGGAUUUAUGACUAUCUAAGUGUUGUAUUUCCGAAGGGAAGCAUCCUAUCCUCAGACUCCCGGCUGUCACCGUCCUGACCUGCCACCUGUGUCACAUCCCAUCAAGUGCUGUGGAUGAGCCUGACAGCCACCUGUGAAGUAAGUUGGACAGUUGUUGGGAUGCCCAUUUUAAAGGUGAAGACACAGAAACCUGGAACGGUGGUUACAUAACUACUCCGAGGUCACGGUCAUGGUCACGGUCACGGUGGUGAAGCUGGGAAUAGACCCGAGGUCCAUAAUUUCCCAUCCAGGACUCUUAUCAGGAGUCCUCAGAGAGAAUCACUGACCCCACUCACCUUCACGGGGUGACGGGGGGUGGGCAGGUUGAAGUGCAUCCAAAUUUGUUGAAGGGUACUGGGUCUGUCCACCCUUUCCUAGCAGGCAGCUCAUUGGGGGAAAAUAUCAUGAACAGUCUUUGGAAAUAUGAGGAAUGUUUAACUAACCUCACUAUAGAUUUUGGCAGAUCGGGCAACAGAGGUUCCUACUCCCUGGCAGCCGAUGGCUCAACUAUCCGAGCUGAGGGCAGCCCUGCAGGCGGAUCUGAUGGCUGCCUUCUCCCCUGCUUUCCCCUCUCCCAUUCCUUCACCCCCUCUGUGCCCAGGAGCCCACACUGUGUGGAGCAGCUGGAGGGAUGAAUGCCCACAUUAUCCGCCCCCAGCCUGUCAGCAGCCACAGACCCCGGGCAGCUGGUGUGAGCCUCUGUCCCCAUGUAAACAGCCGGCCAGCCUGAGUAGCGGCUUGUUCUCUUUGCUGUGCCUGGGCCAGGUCUCAUCGACGCUGGGACCCCCCCCACCACCACCACCACAGCCCUGCCGCCCCAGGGCUGAAGAGGGGCUUUGUGCCCUUAACUCAGACCUUAAUCCUCUUGAAUGCUGCUAAGGUAGAGACCCGAAAUAAAGACACAACACCCGUGAUAGGCCUCUGAGUCACCCACAGGCAGGCAAGGCUGGGGGCUGCCAAGAUACAGCCUAUCUGCCUGUCCGGGAGGAUUUAGGAAGUUUAGGUACAAAUGGUCGGAGGCUGACCUGGGUGCCUUUUAGGGCUCUUCUAAAAACUUAACAAGUCCUAAAUAUCUUCCUGCCAGCCUGCUGGGGAGUGACAGAGUGCACUCUUAGAGACAGGCCACCAAGAGGCAAUCUGCAUGGUCACUAUGAACUUAGUCAUUUGGGUCAUUUGGUAAUUUAGUCCUUAUUAGGCAGAGAUCUUGUUUCUGGGAGGGAAUUCAGAGAGGGGAAAAGGAUGAAGACAGGCAGGAGUCAGGCUCCGCUAAGUCAGAGCCUGAGAACCCUGAGACGCCCAAGAAGACCAGAGGGGGCGGGGUCAAGGUCAGAGAGGGGAGGCCGCAGCUCGGAGGGGCUCUCCUUAUAUCCAGCUUUGAUUUUUCCUCCAAGAUCCCUUCACAGUGACUCAACCCUAAAGAGAGCUUGUCCCUGCAUCCUUGUACGUGCCAUCGUCUUCCUAUUGCAUCCCAGCCACUGCCCAUCCUCCAUCCUCCAUUGUCACAAGGGUCCUCUGACACAUACCAGUUGCAAAUCUGCAAGUCUUAUCAGGUAGAGCACACUGAUUUUUAGCUUCUUUUGCAGGACUUGUCCCUGCCUUGCAUUUCUCAUGGCCCUUCCUUCUUUGGUCCUUGAAUUAUAGUUUUCAGAGCCCUGUCCUACUUCCAUCACUAGUCUGAGAGGCACUGAGGGAGGGACUCUGUCUGGCUCAGCAGCACCAGCACAGUCCCUUGCCCCUGGGAGACGUGCAAUAAAUACGGAGCCACAGCAGUAUUCCCUCGUCAUUCUUCCGGUCAGAUGCUAAGGAAAAGCUUUUAAAACCCUAGGUAAGGGCCAGCUAGGGGAUUCAGGGCAGCUCCAAAUCUAAGAGAGACACUCUCUACACUUUGUAGUCCAGAACUUUUUUUUUUUUAAAUUAAUGUUAUUUGGGACACCAGGUUGCAUCAGACGCUAACAGACAUUUCCAAACUCCUUGGCAAUCCACUCAUCCUGUAGUUCUGCCAGUGCAAACACUGCCAACGAUGGGGGAGAAGAAAGAGCCUUCUUUUCCUUUCAAAGUCAUUCACCUCUAAAGAUCAGUUAGGACUGACAGAAGACCAUGCUCACAAAGGUGCUCACGAUGCUUUAGCUCCAAAAUCACAUUUUUCCUUCUCAGUCCUAUGCUCUGAGGGUCCCUGAUACUACCUGCCAAGAGAAAACCUGCUAGAUCUGCUUAUUGGCUGAAUCACUGCUGAUUUAAACUCAGUAAACAACAACAAAAAGCUGUUUUAAUGAGAUUUGAAUGUCAGCGGUGAAAAUUGAAAAUGGGUACAUCAGACCACCCAACACCUGAAAAUAUUGCGCAACAAUAUUCUUGUCACUUGUAGGGAUUCUAUUUCUGGUAUAUACAUCAAACCUCCUUUAUCCAUUCAUCCACUGAUGGACACUUAGCUUGUUUCCUUAUCUUGACUAUCGUAAAUAAUACUGUGAUGAACGUGGGAGAGCAGACACAUCUUUGAGAUCCUGUCCUCAUUUCCUCUGGAUGUACACCCAGAAGAGGGAUUGCUGGAUCAUAUGGUAAUGCUAUUUUUAAUUUUUUGAGAAAUCGCUAUACUAUUUUCCUUAAUGGCUGCACUGAUUUACAUAGAAAGUGUCUCUUGAUUUCCAACUAAAUUAGGUUAAGAUAGGAACGCCCCACCCUUCUCCCCAUACCCUUCUCAUUUUCUGACAUCUGGAAUUUGUUUUCACACUGUCGAGGAUGAUCAUAUUACAUUUUUUUCCCUAUAACCAUAUGUAGGUCUUCUGUGUUCUAUUAGGCUGAGUCUCAAGGUUGGAAACCAAUAAACUUUAUGUUAAUAUAACCUGAAAUCAGUAAUACAUUAAUCAGUUCUUUCCAUAAACACUGAGGAAGGCACCGAGCUAGGAGUAUACUAUGGGCCCAAUGUCAGGAAGCAUGUGCUAUGUCCUUAAGUUAAAUGGAUUCCAUUCCUUACUCUGCAGUGGUAUCCUCCAUGCCACCAUUGAAUAGGGCUUGUUGAUAGGAGGCUUCACUUUAGUUGAGUAGAAAGAGGAGUCUGACUAGGAGGUUCUCAAAUGUCAAAGAGCUGUGGGUGGUGGGAGUUCCCGUUGUGGUGCAGUGCAAACGAAUCUGACUAGGAACCAUGGGGUUGCAGGUUCGAUCCCUGGCCUCACUUAGUAGGUUAAGGAUCUGGUAUUGCCGUGAGCUGUGGUGCAGGUCACAGACGUGGCUUGGAUGCUAUGUUGCUGUGGCUGUGGUGUAGGCUGGCGGCUACAGCUCCGAUUAGACCCCUAGCCUGGGAACCUCUGUAUGUCACGAUUGUGGCCCUAAAAAGCAAAAAAAAAANNNNNNNNNNNNNNNNNNNNNNNNNNNNNNNNNNNNNNNUAAAAGAGAAAGUCAAUGACUAUAGAAAAAAGAGCUCUGAUUUUUGCCUGGAAUUUGGCUGCCAAGGCUCCAAACGCAGGGGUGGGCGAGGAGAGCGUUUGUGCCACCAACUGGCCAGUGCAUCUGCAGUUAAUUAAAAUUGUCUCUUCAACCCCACCCCUCCACCCUCUACCAUUCUGGAAUAUUGUUUCCAGGACCUGAUUAUCCAUCGAUGGGCUUUUAUUUUCUUUACUUGUUCUGAAAAUAGAUUGGGGUCUCUCCUCCACUGUCUCCUCCAAUUAUCUUGACUGUUGAGCUUACCCGCCAUGUUUUUAUUUAACUGGGAUCUCUGGAAAGAGGACAAAGGCACAGUCAUCUGCAUAUUUUAUUUCAUUCCUGAUUAUAACACAGUUCAGUUUUAUUAUAAAGAAAAAUUUUGAACAAUCCAGAAAAAUAUGCAAAGCAAAGGAAACUCCAUAAAACCCUGCAAUGUGGGGGUAACCCCUAUUAACAUCUUGAUGAAAAUCCUUCCUGAAUUUACUAGCUUUUCCUGCUCUGUUGAAUUUCCAGAGGGAGGUCGCCUCUGCUUUAAUCUCUGAUUCUUCACUCCUCAGGGAUCCAUUAAGCCAAAGGUGGAAACAAAUAGUUAGAGGGGAAAGCUCGUUACUUUUCAGCCACAAACCAGAACUUUGCUGAAAAAGGAAACAGUCAGAAUAGGCAAUUUUUACCAAGGAUUCUUCCCUCCUUCUCUACUUUUCCUGCUUCUGAUUUUUCUGAGCAUUUUAUAGUGGAGACAUCGCAUCCUCUAAACAUUCUUUGCAAGGACAAUCUUCUUCGAGCAGAGUCUUUUGGAUUCUUCUUUCUCCGGGUAGGCGUGUGGGCAUAUGAAAACUCAGAUUUGUUGUUUAUGAAAUUCAUGUUUCACAGUUGGGUCAGGCUCCGGAGUCUUCUUGUGAUCUGAUAAAACAUGCCCCCAAACAUUGCCCAUUUCUCUUCCUUUUUGCUGUUUCCCUGAAUGUACAGGUCCUGGAGUGGAAGGGAGACAGCACAAGGAGAGCUUUUCCAUCCUUCUUCCUUUUAGGAACAAGUUCGUUCUCUUUUUCCUAUUUUUUGCUAGAGUUGUGUUUGCUUGCUUGCUCAUGAGCAUGAAUUGUUUUGAACAUGAAUUAGAAAAGACAAGCUGGGCUCUUUGCCAAUGGAUUGCUGCACCAGCAAGAGUUAAGCAGGAACAAAUUUUGCCUUCUGCCGUGUGGGGUGGCCCCCAGGGUCAGAGAUGAGAGAGUGCUCCAAGGGCGAAGGCCUGACAGUCUCAGCCCUGCUGAUUUUCUCAUAAGGGGUCCUCACAAGCACCCGAUUGGAGCAUCACAUGGCUCUGUGUAUCUCUGGGCCAUCAGUCCAUGCGUGGAGUCUGGCCUUUCCUCCUGACUUGGCCCAGGUUCCUAGCAGAGAAGAGGCUGGUGGAAUGGGGGUGGAGGGGGAGGGCUUCAUCCCUCAGCCACAGACAGGUUCAGAGGGACAAAACCAUCACAUUCCUUCUCUCAGGAGGACUUUGGAGCUUGCUCUAAGUGCUCAUUCUUUUUUCCUUCUCCCCUUUGUGAGACAUCUUAGACAAUUGGUGUCACCAUGAUGUUGAGGUGCCUGGGCAGUGAGAGUGCAGAGAUGGCCUGAGGGUGACAGCCUGGAAAAUGGCCUCUUGCAGACAUUUGAUGAUUGUCAUGGGGAUCUGGAGGCAGGAAUCACUGACCUUUCUUAACACACAGAUAAGAUUUUUUAAGACUUUAAUAAAAUCACAUUUUGUUUUGAGUCCUAGUCCUUGUGGAGAUGGACCAUUUUAUGAUUACUUUGGAAGUGACUUUCUCUAUAAGAAACAUGACUAGGAGUUCCCAUCAUGGCUCAGUGGAAUACUGAAUCUGACUAGUAUUCUUGAGGAUGCAGGUUCGAUCCCUGGCCUCACUCAGUGGCUUAAGGAUCCGGCGUUGCCGUGAGGUGUGGUGUAGGCCACAGAGUGGCUCAGAUCUGGCAUUGCUGUGGCUGUGGUUGGAGGAAAGUGGCUAACGCUGAUUCAACACCUAGCCUAGGAAAACUCCAUAUGCCAUGGGUGUGGCCCUAAAAAAAAGACAGAAAAAAAGGACUUCCCAUUGUGGCACAGCCGAAACUAAUCCUACUAGGAACCAUGAUUUCGGGUUUGAUCCCUGGCCUUGCUCAGUGGGUAAGGAUCCAGCAUUGCCAUGAGCUGUGGUGUAGAUUGCAGAUAUGGUUCAGAUCCCAUGUUGCUGUGGAUGAGGCCGGCGCUGUAGCUCUGAUUUGUCCCCUAGCCUGGGAACCUCCAUAUGCUACAAAUGUGGCCCUAAAAAGCAAAAAAAA
rnacentral:lncRNA from 1 species